GUGGCUAUAGUUUAACGGCUAGAACACUGGUUUGUGGUACCAGUAGCGAGGGUUCGACUCCCUCUAGCUACCCCA
rnacentral:tRNA from 1 species